rnacentral:rRNA from 1 species
GGUUGCGAUCAUACCAGCACCAAUGCACCGGAUCCCAUCAGAACUACGCAGUUAAGCGUGCUUGGGCGAGAGUAGUACUAGGAUGGGUGACCCCCUGGGAAGUCCUCGUGUUGCAACCC